UCGUAUAACUUGAUAAAACAAGUGAGUUAAAAGCUGAAAUUGGUCUCAAAAUGAAGCUAAGACAUUAUAUGAUCUAUAGAAAUCGGUAAUACAGAUUGUCAGACAGAAUUAUGCGUGAAAAUGGCGAUAAAACUGGGACCAAAUCUGGAUCAUGAGGCGCUUGUUGAAAAGAUGUACAAUAUGUCAGACGUUAUUUAUACCGGUCGGACCAUACAUUUAUACAUUCUAAGAGUGACUGACUUCAAGCAGACAACACAACAGCAAUGUUUUGUUGAGGAAACAGUGACAUGGGUAUAUACAUAUUUGUAAUACAGGGCAGUCAUAGUUAUGUCUUAAGGUACAGCUGAAUAAAUGGUCUGGUGAAAUCCUGGCUAAGUUGAAAAUUUAUAAUUACAAGGUAUCUACAGUCAGUACAUACGAUUUUUCUACUUUGUAUACCAUUUUACCACAUAACUUAAUAAAUGACAAAUUAACUGCCCUAAUUCAAAAGACU
rnacentral:lncRNA from 1 species